GAUGAACGCUGGCGGCGUGCCUAAUACAUGCAAGUCGAGCGAACAGACGAGGAGCUUGCUCCUCUGACGUUAGCGGCGGACGGGUGAGUAACACGUGGAUAACCUACCUAUAAGACUGGGAUAACUUCGGGAAACCGGAGCUAAUACCGGAUAAUAUAUUGAACCGCAUGGUUCAAUAGUGAAAGACGGUUUUGCUGUCACUUAUAGAUGGAUCCGCGCCGAAUUAGCUAGUUGGUAAGGUAACGGCUUACCAAGGCAACGAUGCGUAGCCGACCUGAGAGGGUGGUCGGCCACACUGGAACUGAGACACGGUCCAGACUCCUACGGGAGGCAGCAGUAGGGAAUCUUCCGCAAUGGGCGAAAGCCUGACGGAGCAACGCCGCGUGAGUGAUGAAGGUCUUCGGAUCGUAAAACUCUGUUAUUAGGGAAGAACAAAUGUGUAAGUAACUAUGCACGUCUUGACGGUACCUAAUCAGAAAGCCACGGCUAACUACGUG
rnacentral:rRNA from 1 species